rnacentral:rRNA from 1 species
UGAAUACGAGACGCUAAGGCGUCGAAGUAGUGUAUGUCAUACUUCCAAGAAAAGCUUGCACUGUCAUAAAUAAAAGAUGCCUGUACCAUAACCGACACAGGUGGGUAGGUAGAGUAUACUAAGGGGCGCGAGAUAACUCUCUCUAAGGAACUCGGCAAAAUAACUCCGUAACUUCGGGAGAAGGAGUGCCUUAUUUAUAAGGUUGCAAUAACAAGAUCCAAGCAACUGUUUAUCAAAAACACAGGUCUCCGCUAAGUCGCAAGACGAUGUAUGGGGGCUGACGCCUGCCCAGUGCCAGAAGGUUAAAGAAGUUGGUUAGCACUUGCGAAGCUGAUAACUGAAGCCCUGGUGAACGGCGGCCGUAACUAUAACGGUCCUAAGGUGGCGAAAUUCCUUGUCGGGUAAGUUCCGACCCGCACGAAAGGCGUAAUGAUUUGGAUACUGUCUCGGAGAGGGGCUCGGUGAAAUAGACUUGUCUGUGAAGAUGCGGACUACCUGCACCAGGACAGAAAGACCCUAUGAAGCUUUACUGUAACUUGAAAUUGAAAUUGGACUUUAUUUGCGCAGUAUAGGUGGGAGGCGUUGAUUGUAAUCUUGCGGGAUUAUUGGAGCCAUCAGUGAGAUACCACUCUUGUAAUGUUAGAUUUCUAACUUUGUAUCAUUAUCUGGUCAAAGAACAGUUUCAGGCGGGCAGUUUGACUGGGGCGGUCGCCUCCUAAACGGUAACGGAGGCGUACAAAGGUUUCCUCUGAACGGUUAGAAAUCGUAUCUAGAGUGUAAAGGCAUAAGGAAGCUUGACUGUGAGACCUACAAGUCGAGCAGGGACGAAAGUCGGUCUUAGUGAUCUGACGGUACUGAGUGGAAAGGCCGUCACUCAACGGAUAAAAGUUACUCUAAGGAUAACAGGCUGAUCUCCCCCAAGAGUUCACAUCGACGGGGAGGUUUGGCACCUCGAUGUCGGCUCAUCGCAUCCUGGGGCGGUAGUACGUCCCAAGGGUUGGGCUGUUCGCCCAUGAAAGCGGUACGCGAGCUGGGUUCAGAACGUCGUGAGACAGUUCGGUCCAUAUCCGGUGUAGGCGUUAGAAUAUUGAGAGGAGCCUUCUUUAGUACGAGAGGACCGAGAAGGACAUACCUCUGGUGUACCAGUUAUCGUGCCAACGGUAAACGCUGGGUAGCUAUGUAUGGAGUGGAUAACCGCUGAAAGCAUCUAAGUGGGAAGCCCACCUCAAGAUAAG